AGACGUGCCGGUGACAAACCGGAGGAAGGUGGGGAUGACGUCAAGUCAUCAUGGCCCUUACGGCCUGGGCUACACACGUGCUACAAUGGUCGGCACAAAGAGUUGCCAAGCCGCGAGGUGGAGCUAAUCCCAUAAAACCGAUCGUAGUCCGGAUCGCAGUCUGCAACUCGACUGCGUGAAGUCGGAAUCGCUAGUAAUCGUGAAUCAGAAUGUCACGGUGAAUACGUUCCCGGGCCUU
rnacentral:rRNA from 1 species